AUGGAGCAGUCGGUGAAUGGGCGGUCGUGCCCGUCAGUUGCCUGCAGUUCUAUGGAGUGGACCACCGUCUGGUGAGAGAAAAGGAGACCCAUGGAUUACUUCCGACCAGCAACUAUGAUGGUCAAGAGGCCCACCUGUGAAGGUUCCGAUUCUACAAAUCUGGGGUGAGGUCCAGUGUUAAGAAAACCACUUAGACAAUCUCUGGAGGUUCAGGGGGUGGAAGUCAGGAGAUUGUGAAAAUUCCUUGAAACUGUAUGACACACACACUUUCUUAUUUUCCUUCUAGAGACAGUUUAUAGUUUUUAAUAGUUUCUCAAAGUAUUAUAUGACUCAUAAAAUGUUCAGGACUCUUUGUCUAGGACCAGGAAGCCGAUCUUCCAGGAUGCAUGCCAAUAGUGGAGGGAGGUUAAUACAGCAAACCAGGGCACCAAGACACAAGAUCCAGAAGACUGGAAGGAAAACCAUGACCAGAAGAAGGAAGCCCCAGAUGCGUACUCUUCAUUUUUCUUAACAGCCUAGCAUUAAAGUGAAAGUGAAGUUGCUCAGUCAUGUCCAACUCUUUGCAAUCCCAUGGACUGUAGCCUACCAGGCUCCUCUGUCUAUGGAAUUUUCCAGGCAAGAGCACUGGAGUAGGUUGCCAUUUCCUUCUCCAGGGGAAUCUUCCCGACCCAGGGAUUGAACCCGGGUCUCUUGCGUUGCAGGCAGACACUUUACCAUCUGAGCCACAAGGGAAGCAUUAUGUUGUAUUUAAAAAUGCUCACUUGAAUCAGUUUACAUUUAAAAUACUUGGAAUCUGAUUAGCCUCAGCAGUCAAAACUCCAAACUGUUUUAACACGUGCAUGUCUAUGUUUAGCUCAUUUAAAAAGCAGUAAGAGGCUGGAGACUAGGAUUCCUUGCUAUUCGAGAAUACAUUCUUUUGAGGACACUGGCUCAUGAAAAUGUAGGCAUGUCCUUCACUGUGACGGGACCUAAAGUGUUAUAUUAAGUGACAGGUGUUUGCCCCAUUUGCUUCUCAUCCCGCUUGUUAUUUAAUCAUUAAGUUUUUUCCAACUCUUUGGGACCCUGUGGACUGUAGCCCACCAGGCUUCUCUGUCCAUGGGAUUUCCCAGGCAAGAACACUGGAGUGAGUUGCCAUUUCCUUCUCCAGGGGAUCUUCCCAACCAAGGGAUCAAACCUGCAUCUCCUGGACUGGCAGGCAGAUUCUUUACUACUGAGCCACCUCGGAAGCCCUAUCCCACUUGCCAAUGAGAAUUAUUUGACAGUUCUGGUUGAACAUGUCUUUGCCUUGUAAGGGAGGUUCUGAGUCAGCCAGCUCAGUUCCUGCCCUUUAGUUGGGUAGAAUCAGAAUAACAGGUAGACGUUGUGGAAGAACUACAGUGAGUGAAAUUAGUUUAUUUAUGUUUGGAUGAGUUCGCAUGAAAACAAUGACAUAUGGCAGAGGGAAGGGACUCGAGGAUGCUCCAGGGUUGUACCGGGCAGACCUUACAGCUGCCACUUGAGGAGCUGGAAGAGCAUCUUUGGGCAGCUGCUAAGGAGGAGAAAUGCAGGGAGUGGAAGGGAAUGAGGAUUUUAAGAAUUCUUCCUGUGGAUUAUGAAUUGGACUCCUUUGAUGUUCUUUGAGACACAGGAGCAUAAAUUUGAAUUCUCUUUAGGAAUUCUGGUGAUUAUACUGUGUGCCUCUGAAAGUGACUUAUAUGUGUGCUGAACUGCAUGGGCUCAGGGUUUUUAAAAAUAUUUUAAAUCAUGGUAAAGAACACAUGGAGAAGAAAAUGGCAACCCACUCCAGUAUUAUUGCCUGGAAAAUCCUAUGGACAGAAGAGCCUGGCAGGCUACAGUUCAUGAGGUUGCAGAGAAUCACACACGACUGAGCAACUGAGCACAAGAAAUACAUAACAUAUAAUUACCAUCUUAGCCACUUCUAAGUGUAACUUUAAGUUCAUUAGUUUAAGCAUAUUCACAUUAUUGCGCAACUAAAUCUCCAGAAUUUUUUCAUCAUGUAAAACUGAAGAUUCAUAGCUAUGCUCAUUGAACACCAGCUCCCCAUUUCUUCAUCCCCCAGCCCCUGGAAACCAUCAUCCUGCUUUAUGUUCCCAUGUACUUGACUACUUUAGAUCGCUCAUUUGAAUGGAAUCAUACAGUCUUUUCGUGACAGGCUUACUUUACUUGGCAAGACAUUCUCAAGAUUUAUCCAUGUUUUAGCAAGUGACAGGAUUUCCUUUCUUUUUAAGUUUAAAUGAUAUUUCAUUGUACCUACAGGAUUUCAUUUGGUUACAUUAAAAUGGCUUUCCAAUUAUAUCUAAUAGUAUGAUAAAUUAAGGACUCAACUUCUCCCCCAGCUUCUGCUCCAAUACUCCUAAUAAUUAAAAUACCGUGUGUGUGUGUGUGUGUGUGUGUGUGUGUGUGUGUGUUAAGUCGCUUCAGUCAUAUCCGACUCUGUGAGCCUAUGGAGUGUAGCCCACCAGGCUGCUGUGUCCAUGGGAUUCUCCAGGCAUGAACACUGGAGUGGGUUGCCAUGCCCUUCUCUAGGGGAUCUUCCCAACCCAGGGUCUGAACCCAUGUACCAUAUAUACUUGAUUCACCUUUGAAGAGGCCAGUCAGCAUAUAAUUAUGGCUCUCCAAGAAGCAUAAUUUGAGAGCAAAUCACUAAGAGUACUUUCAUUAUAAAGCUUUGAAUGAGGAAAAAUAAUAUAUCAAGUUACCAUUCCAUCGAGGACUUUUCCAAAUACCACAUGUUUGCCGUCCAGCCAGGUGGGCUUGGUCAAGGUGAUAAAGAACUGAGAGCCGUUGGUGUCAGGCCCUGCAUUGGCCAUGCUGACCCACCCAAUGCCAUAAUGCUUCAGUUUGAAGUUCUCAUCUGGGAAUGUCUCACCAUAAAUGCUUAUACCUGGGUGAGACAAAACAAAAAGGGUAGAGUCAAAAGAUGUUAUACAAAAGUAAAUUCUUCAAAGGGAAGUAUAAGGUUUGAGUAGAACUGGUUAAGAGAACCCUAUAGAAGAAGAUGGGAAUGAGGAAAAGAUAGUCAAACAUAAAGAGCAAUUAAGCAGAGGAUAAAAUUUACUCCUUAAGGAAACAGAGCACCAGGGACCAAAAGAAACAAACAAAAGCCUUAAGUAUGACACAAGAUGGCAAAGAUGCCCUCUGGCCUCAAACGAACACCCAAACCUUGACCAAGCAAGUCAGUGAUUUCACUUUGAAAUGAGAAGGAAGGGAAGGACAGGAUGGCAUGGUAAUGUCUGAUGGAAUGAUGGGUAAGCCAUCCUAGUGACCCCGUCGCUGUCCUGAGUGUCAGGUCGCUUGUCCUGGGUCACUCAUACCUCAGCAGCCAAGCCAACUGCAAUAUACACUUAAUAUACACCCUUAGCCAAUCCUCAUAACAGUCCUAUAGGAUAGGUUCUCUCAUUGCCACUGUGAAUGGGAAACUUAUCAAACUUAUCAAAUGGGAGCUUAUCAAACUUGAAAAAAGUAAAACUUGAACUUCUGGCUCCAACUCUGGUUCUCUAAGCACUUAGAGCCUCAGUACUAAGAAGAACAGUGCCAGCCUGGAAGUCAUUAGGCUUGAUGACUUCAGGGUACAGAGGGUGACAGCAACUGGGAGCAGCCAGGGAGCCAGCCUUGAGCCAGAGGCAGGCAUGGGGGCUGGAGAUCUAGCACAGCACAUUUUUCCUAUAAAACAACAGUUCAGACCAUCUGCUCCAUCCCCCAACCCUGAGUGCCUAUGACACCCAACUUCUCCACUGCAGGGCACCUUAUCCAUCGGUGGCCAGCCUUAAAGUCCUGGCUCAGUUAGCGCUCAUGUUAUCUCCUCCUCACUAUGCAGUACUUGUGAAGGACCAGGCAAAAAAGUUCCUUAAGACUUGGCUCUUACAUGGGCAUUUUCCUUCAUUUUAUACAACCAAAACCUCUUCAUAGCUAGCAUAGUUAACUUUUCAAACAGGUUAUCUAGAAAGAGUUGCCAUAGAGGAAUAGCAAGGACACUUUGUGAAUCUUAAGGUGUACAUCUUGGGAUAUACAGCUUCUAAAUAAAUAACUGGAUAUUUUAACAACUUCA